AUUUUAUCCAGUUUUUCAAGUUUUUUUAUCUGAAUUGAUGGGUCGGAAGUCAUAUUGCACUGUUGAAAGAGCCCGGUUGGUUUCAAUCCUCAGAAAGCAUGGAAAAUCACUUCGGGAAAUUGGGAAAUUA